rnacentral:rRNA from 1 species
UACAGAGGUCCCAAGCGUUGUUCGGAUUCACUGGGCGUAACGGGUGCGUAGGUGGCCAGGUAAGUUUGGUGUGAAAGCUCGGAGCUUAACUCCGAAAAGUCAUUGAAUACUAUCUGGCUGGAGGGUCGGAGGGGAGACUGGAAUUCUCGGUGUAGCAGUGAAAUGCGUAGAUAUCGAGAGGAACACCAGUGGCGAAGGCGAGUCUCUGGGCCGAUACUGACGCUGAGGAGCGAAAGCGUGGGGAGCGAACAGG